GAUGAUGUUAAUGAUGACUUCUCGUUGCAGCUUAAGAGAGAAUUGGAGAACAAUGCUGAGAAAAAAUGAAGAGACUCUAGACACUUUCUUUUUAUCUGCCAACAUCUAUGUUUUAUUUGCGCUGUUUGACCUUCAAGAUGGUUUUAUUGCCUUCUAUAUCUCAAAUGGUGUCAUUAAUAUUCAUUUAAGAUCAGCAUAUUGAAUAUCUAUGGCCGUUGGCCCAGAAGAUAAG
rnacentral:misc_RNA from 1 species